CGGGUGAGUAAAGUCUGGGAAACUGCCUGAUGGAGGGGGAUAACCACUGGAAACGGUGGCUAAUACCGCAUAAUCUCGCGAGAGCAAAGUGGGGGACCUUAAUGGCCUCACGCCAUCGGAUGUGCCCAGAUGGGAUUAGCUUGUUGGUGGGGUAAAGGCUCACCAAGGCGACGAUCCCUAGCUGGUCUGAGAGGAUGACCAGCCACACUGGAACUGAGACACGGUCCAGACUCCUACGGGAGGCAGCAGUGGGGAAUAUUGCACAAUGGGCGCAAGCCUGAUGCAGCCAUGCCGCGUGUGUGAAGAAGGCCUUCGGGUUGUAAAGCACUUUCAGCGGGGAGGAAGGUGGUGUGGUUAAGAGCCAUAUCAAUUGACGUUACCCGCAGAAGAAGCACCGGCUAACUCCGUGCCAGCAGCCGCGGUAAUACGGAGGGUGCAAGCGUUAAUCGGAAUUACUGGGCGUAAAGCGCACGCAGGCGGUCUGACAAGUCAGAUGUGAAAUCCCCGGGCUUAACCUGGGAACUGCAUUUGAAACUGUCAGG
rnacentral:rRNA from 1 species